CACAAUAAUCCUUUCGGCCACGUAAACACCAGCUCUGCACCAACAAGCACAGCUUCACAAGAGUCUCAAUACCACCAAUACUGUCAGAAAGAGAUGUCCUGCCUUGUCCUAGCUCUGGGAGUCCCUCGGCGCCCCCUGUACCUAAAUCACGCUCCCGGAGAUCUCUGGCACAUUCCGCCCUGAGGUUCCAGCGGUUCAUAUGCUGACCACGCCAGGCUCCCUCGUCUCAGAACCUGCCCCCAGAGUGAGUUUCCAGCUGGCCUACUAGACCUACUAAGGUCGGUGCUUACUUUUUCCGGAACAAGACAUCCUGCGGAGUUCCAGCCCCAGGCCUGCAGGAAAUGGCAACCUCAGCCAGAGCCUCUGCAAUAGCGGGACCCCCUCCCUUCACAGGCCUCCCAGAAUGCAAUGGGCACCAGGUCAAAAGAAGUGGUGGGAAACAAGGUGAUUUCUGCCUUUCCUGAAGUGCGCAGGCGCAGGUGACGCCGCUCCUUUGUCGGAGGCCACGCCCACUGUUCCUUGACGGGAGCAGGCAGAAAGGAGGCAGGGCGCGUUACAACGGGCUCUUGCAACAACUUGCAGUGCUUUUUCGGCCCCAAAGGUGAUGUCUCUGUGGCUGGGAGCCCGGGGGCCAGGUCCCAAGGCCUCCACCUCCCCUCAGUGACCGGUCAUGGCGGGCUUGGGGGUAGUGGGGGCAGAAGUAUUGAAGGCCUCGGUGAGGCAGGCCCGAGGGGUGGACCCGCGCUCUGCGCAGGUGAGACCUAGGGCGAUGAUGGAUUCUGGACCACGGAGACCCGGCGGCGGGGGACAAGGGCGCUGGUUUGACAUGGAAAAUAAAGAAAAUGUAAGCAUCUUCAGAAAAAGGAUUACUUCUUAUUCACUGUUGUAUCUCCAGAGCCUGAUAUAAUACAUGGAAGGUAUUCAAUAAAUGUUAAUUGAAUGACUAUCGAAUACAGUCACCUUCUUAAGGGAUGAAAGAUGCAAAACUUCACUUGGCAUGGGAAAUACUUGUUCCACAAGAUUUCAAAUAGGAGUCAUGGGUGAAAGUGAGUCUCUGAAUAUCAUAAAACCUGGGGUCACCAAACAACUUGUGCUGUCUGUGCCAUAUUUACAUGGUAAGUUGAUGUUUGGGGGGCAUUUUUCAUCUUUUAUAUACCCAUCAUCCACACUUCAUUGGCAAUAUGUGUAUAGUAAAUAUGCAAAGAAUGUAAAUGUUUUCUCUU
rnacentral:lncRNA from 1 species